CCAUACCGCCUAGCACUACCAGUAGCAGGCUUCCAGGUCCGCCUCUCCACCACCGCACGUUUGGAACUGGAAUGGAGCCGUGCUUUUUCGUGGCAUAUCUAUUAUGCUGUCUUGUUCUUGCUUCAUCUCCUUCUGGCGGGGUUAUUGCACAUCCAAUCUGUUUGUUUCUGUUCCAGUUCGUGAUUGUUAGGAUUCUGCAUGCCGUAAUUCGUCUCCCGGCCGAUCUGCAGCUGCAGCACGAUAUGUUUGGAGCAUGGUGAUAUGCACUUCCAAAGCGUCCAUCUGAGGCACUCGUUAAAUUCAAAUAUCUGUUUGAAGCCUGGAUUCCCAAUUUGCAGUUUUACCUUCAAGCCUUUUUGCUUUCGGUCUCAUAUUUACUACUUUGCCUUCAAGCUGCCGAGACUUUGGGGUAGCCUUUGUUAUAACUUUGCGGUUGCCUUUCUUUCUUUUUUUUUUUCCUUGUCUCCUGUGAGGAGGAAGACGGGAUCCAAUGUCAUGACAAUCCCAAAGUAACUAUGAACUCAUUUCGGCUGGAACUCUCAUUUCCUUUUGUACUUGGAAGAUGAGAUACUCGGACAUCUUAUCCUCAAACAUUUUACUGCUCUGAUUAGUUUACUACUUUAAGCUGAAUGUUUGAAUUCA